UUACUUACCUGGCAGAGGAGAUACCAUAUCACGAAGAUGGUUUCCCCAGGGCAAGGCUUAUUCAUUGCACUCCGGAUGUGCUGACCCCUGCGAUUUCCCCAAAUGUGGGGAACUUGACUGCAUAAUUUGUGGCAGUGGGGAACUGCAUUUGUGCUCUCCCCUA